rnacentral:rRNA from 1 species
GCAGACAUACUACCCUGAAUGUGCCUGAUCUCAUCUGAUCUCAGAAGCUAAGCAGGGAUAGGCCUGGUUAGUACUCAGAUAGGAGACUGCCCGGGAAUGCUGGCUGCC